UACGGGGGGAGCAAGCGUUGUUCGGAUUUACUGGGCGUAAAGGGCGCGUAGGCGGUCGUGACAAGUCACUUGUGAAAUCUCCGGGCUUAACUCGGAACGGUCAAGUGAUACUGUCGGACUAGAGUACAGAAGGGGCAACUGGAAUUCUCGGUGUAGCGGUGGAAUGCGUAGAUAUCGAGAGGAACACCUGCGGCGAAGGCGGGUUGCUGGGCUGAUACUGACGCUGAGGCGCGAAAGCCAGGGGAGCGAACGGG
rnacentral:rRNA from 1 species